rnacentral:rRNA from 1 species
UACAGAGGAUGCAAGCGUUAUCCGGAAUGAUUGGGCGUAAAGCGUCCGCAGGUGGUUUUGUAAGUCUGCUGUUAAAGCGUUAGGCUCAACCUAAUAAGGGCAGUGGAAACUAUGAGACUAGAGUAUGUUAGGGGUAGAGGGAAUUCCCAGUGUAGCGGUGAAAUGCGUAGAGAUUGGGAAGAACACCGGUGGCGAAAGCGCUCUGCUAGGACAAUACUGACACUGAGGGACGAAAGCUAGGGGAGCGAACGGG